GGGCCGGUAGAUCAAUGGAAUGUCCUUUCCGUUUCGAGGUAGAGGUUGUGGGUUCAAGUCCCAUCCGGUCCA
rnacentral:tRNA from 1 species